UUAGAUCUCCAAUCAGGCAGGAUUACCGCUGAACUUAA
rnacentral:rRNA from 1 species